AGUGCUGCCAGCUCGCUGCUGGAUGGCAAAUUGUGCCAGGGUUCAGCUGUGAAACACAACAUGGAUGCACAUGACACCCAGGAGAAACCCAGCUGUGACAGCAGAACAGUGCUGGGGAGGUCAGCUUUACACCCUUAACUCUCAGACUGGAGACUGGAGUGAAGAGAAUGGAGCUGUGGAGUGGUGGCCAGGCUGUGUCAGGUGGGCCCUGCUCCUAGACAAGCCCUGUCCACCCUUAUUUACAUGCACAGGUGGACCCUCUGAAUCUCCUCUGGAGCUGCUGGAAAGUUGGAGAUAGGUAUACAUGGCUCUUGUCCCUGUCUAGCCAGCUCCAGGAUGUCAUGAAAUGUCAGCAGCACUUCAGCAGGGCAUGCAGUCAGGUCUGUGCUUUCAAAACACUGGCUGAAAUUCCCAGAAGAAGGUCAAGUGCCUC